UACAGAGGUCUCAAGCGUUGUUCGGAUUCAUUGGGCGUAAAGGGUGCGUAGGCGGCGCGGUAAGUCGGGUGUGAAAUCUUGGAGCUUAACUCCGAAACUGCAUUCGAUACUGCCGUGCUUGAGGACUGGAGAGGAGACUGGAAUUUACGGUGUAGCGGUGAAAUGCGUAGAUAUCAGGAGGAACACCAGCGGCGAAGGCGGCGCUCUGGGCCGGUACUGACGCUGAGGAGCGAAAGCGUGGGUAGCAAACAGG
rnacentral:rRNA from 1 species